GAUCGGCCGCGCGGGCUGGGGGCGAGGCUGCGGAAUCCCGAGCCGCGGAUGGCGCGUUGGGGCGGGGGAGGCAGCGCUGCCGGGACACGACGGGGUUAAGCUGGGUCGGCGGCCAUUUUGGAUGGCGGGGAGAUCUUGCUGUUGCCUUGUAUCAGAAGAGCUGCCACUGAGAGCUGCUCAGUCCAAUUGGAAGACGGUGGAGGAGAAACAUCUGGUUCGUUGAAUGCAUGGGAAAGCUUACAUAGCAGUGGGAGUAAGUGGAAGAAGACCAAAAGACAGAGAUCAUCAAAUGUGCACAGGCAAAUAACAAGGCAAAUAAAGCACACAGUGUCAGUGAGUCACAAA